rnacentral:rRNA from 1 species
ACAAGUACCGUGAGGGAAAGUUGCAAAGCACUUUGAAGAGAGAGUUAAAGAGGACGUGAAACCGGUAAGGUGGAAACGGAUAGAGUCGGCGUAUCAUUCAAUUAUUCAGUUACAUUAUUUUUAUGUUGUGACCUCUGAGCUCCAGAUUGGGACAGAGGGAAUCAGCAUAAUUUUUUGUGGUGCAUUUACUUGAUUGGUGCUUGGGGAUGUUUGAGGCAGAUUUGUUUCCGUCGUUUUGAGGCCAGCUUGCUGGUACCCAAACGGUGUUAGCAUUUUUUGUCUUGGGCAUUUGAGUAUGGCUCACGUGUAUUUAUUGAACAGAUCUGAGUGUAAGUUACGGUCGCAUGCGACACGUGCUUUUCAAUUAGUUCGGUCCAGUUAAUGCUCUCGUACUCGUUCCCCAUGUAAAAGCCGGUCAUCUAUCCGACCCGUCUUGAAACACGGACCAAGGAGUUUAUCGUGUGCGCAAGUUUUUGGGUGUUAAAAACUUAAAAGCGAAAUGAAAGUAAAUGACUCUUUAGAGUCUGAUGUGCGAUCUUGUAAAAAAGUGUAGCAUGGCCCCAUUCUAACUGUUUACAGUAGGGUGGCGGAAGAGCGUACGCGGUGAGACCCGAAAGAUGGUGAACUAUUCCUGAGCAGGACGAAGCCAGAGGAAACUCUGGUGGAAGUCCGAAGCGGUUCUGACGUGCAAAUCGAUCGUCUGACUUGGGUAUAGGGGCGAAAGACUAAUCGAACCAUCUAGUAGCUGGUUCCUUCCGA